CAGACAGCUGGGUCCCUAUGUGCACAGAGACAAGGAAGACCUUUCUUUGGUCAACCUACACCAAGUGUACAACAAAGAAGCAUCCACAGGAGAUGUGCAAAUACAUAUAAACAGAACGGAAAGACGGGUAAAGGUUUUCACUGACUUUCGCUGACAGAACCUCUUUAUUUAGAAGCACAGAAAAAAAGGUUUAAGGCUGUCAGGGUUGUACUCCAGAGGCAGCUCCAGCAAAACCCCUGCAGAGGAAGAGCAAAUGUUCGCAACCCACCAGAAUCUUCUCCAGCAUAAAAAAAGAUGGCCUUGCCUUUUCCUGAUGUGGACCAAAAGAAAUAAAAAUGGAUCCAUCCUGCAUUGCUGUGGGUAUGGUGGGAGUAUCAAGGAAAAGACUUGCCUAUAUAGUUACAAGAAACAGUCCAAAGGAAGAGACAUCAAACAACAGAGCUGGAAUCAAGCGAACACAUCACAAAACAAAAUAGCAGAUUUCAUCAAUACAGGAGAAAAGUAUCCUCUUGGAAGAAGAAGAAAAUAUGUAUUUUGUUCAAGUAGUAAGCUACUUGUAUUUUCUCCUAAAGUACCUCUUCAAUAGUUCAAGGCUGCAAUCACUGCUUUAUAGAAUUCAUUUGAAACAAAGAUAUUAAAUAUGUGUUUUUGUUUGUUUGUUUUUUGUGUAAUACAUGACUUUUUUAAAGUCUUCUGGGUCACUUCAAGGACAAUGGUUCUUCAACAGAUAAGGACAACUUGAAUUGCUCUCCUUUUCACUUGUUAAACAAUUGCGUAACUUUGUAGAUUUCAUGGUUGUUCUUU